rnacentral:piRNA from 2 species
UGUGAAGCUUAUGGGACUUUGGGUUCUGA